rnacentral:rRNA from 1 species
UGGGGAAUAUUGCACAAUGGGCGCAAGCCUGAUGCAGCCAUGCCGCGUGUAUGAAGAAGGCCUUCGGGUUGUAAAGUACUUUCAGCGAGGAGGAAGGCGUUGUGGUUAAUAACCGCAACGAUUGACGUUACUCGCAGAAGAAGCACCGGCUAACUCCGUGCCAGCAGCCGCGGUAAUACGGAGGGUGCAAGCGUUAAUCGGAAUUACUGGGCGUAAAGCGCACGCAGGCGGUUUGUCAAGUCGGAUGUGAAAUCCCCGGGUUCAACCUGGGAACUGCAUCCGAAACUGGCAGGCUAGAGUCUUGUAGAGGGGGGUAGAAUUCCAGGUGUAGCGGUGAAAUGCGUAGAGAUCUGGAGGAAUACCGGUGGCGAAGGCGGCCCCCUGGACAAAGACUGACGCUCAGGUGCGAAAGCGUGGGGAGCAAACA